rnacentral:lncRNA from 1 species
GGGGGGGGGCUGGUUAUCAUGAUGCCCUCUUGGGGUUGUAAUUCCCACCUCAUCAAUUUUUACCGAAUGAGUUUUUUGGUGUGAAUACAUAGUUACCUUAUCAAAAAGAAAAAAAGUUAUCCUUACUUGUGGAUGGAAUACUAAUCCGUGGAUAAGUUAUCCCAAGAUAAAAAUGCAAAAUAACAAAAGUACCCCCUUAAACCCUCUUUUAAUCAUCACUUUAACAUUCAUGUAUAUUCAAAGAAUUUUUAAUACCAUUUAUAAUAACAUUCACAACCUUCACUACUCGUUAUUUUUAUGAUUAUAUAUUUUCCCGUUAAAAAUUUACACUAUAUAAAUAUAAUUUUAAUUUAUGAAUAUAUCAUACGU